rnacentral:rRNA from 1 species
GACGAACGCUGGCGGCGUGCUUAACACAUGCAAGUCGAACGAUGAAGCAAAGAAUCGAUGCUUCGGCAGAAAUUCAUUUCGGAUUAGUGGCAGACGGGUGAGUAACGCGUGAGCAACCUACCUCUUACAAAGGGAUAGCCUCGGGAAACCGGGAUUAAUACCAUAUAACAUUGCGACGAAGCAUUUCGAUGCAAUCAAAGCUACGGCGGUAAGAGAUGGGCUCGCGUCCCAUUAACCGGAUGGUGAGGUAACGGCUCACCAUAGUGACGAUGGGUAACCGGCAUGAGAGGGUGAACGGUCACACUGGAACUGAGACACAGUCCAGACUCCUACGGGAGGCAGCAGUAGGGAAUAUUGCACAAUGGAGGGAACUCUGAUGAAGCGACGCCGGGUAAGAGGUGAAGGGAUUCGUUUCGUAAAUCUCUGUUCUAUGGGAAGAAAAGGACUGUACCAGAGGAGAAAGCGCCGGCUAAAUACGUG